UACGAAGGUCCCGAGCGUUGUUCGGAAUCACUGGGCGUAAAGGGUGCGUAGGCGGCGUGGUAAGUCAGAUGUGAAAUCCCGGGGCUCAACCCCGGAACUGCAUCCGAUACUGCCAUGCUAGAGGACUGGAGAGGUGACUGGAAUUCUCGGUGUAGCAGUGAAAUGCGUAGAGAUCGAGAGGAACACUCGUGGCGAAAGCGAGUCACUGGACAGUAUCUGACGCUGAUGCACGAAGGCUAGGGGAGCGAAAGGG
rnacentral:rRNA from 1 species